UUGUGAGCAUCCUUUGACCAUCUCCACUAGUGGACGUACCAUGCAUGUACAUUCUUAUCUUUUAUUUUAUGUACUUUUGAUUGAUUUGUUAACUCUAAAUCUGGCUUCUUUGCAUAAUAAUUGACUACAUUGAUGACAUCUUCUUAUUCCUAGUGCCUUGCAAUUGAGAAUACAUACUGCAUCAAACAGUAUGUUAUAAUUGUUAGUUCUGUUACCA
rnacentral:lncRNA from 1 species